rnacentral:rRNA from 1 species
AUCCUGGCUCAGGAUGAACGCUAGCUACAGGCUUAACACAUGCAAGUCGAGGGGCAGCAUUGGGAUAGCUUGCUAUUCAGAUGGCGACCGGCGCACGGGUGAGUAACGCGUAUCCAACCUUCCUGCCAGUAGGGAACAGCCCGGCGAAAGUCGGAUUAAUGCCCUAUGUUCUUCAAUGCGGACAUCUAAGUUGAAGGAAAGAUUCAUCGCUGGCAGAUGGGGAUGCGUCCGAUUAGCUUGCCGGCGGGGUAACGGCCCACCGGGGCGACGAUCGGUAGGGGUUCUGAGAGGAAGGUCCCCCACACUGGUACUGAGACACGGACCAGACUCCUACGGGAGGCAGCAGUGAGGAAUAUUGGUCAAUGGGCGUAAGCCUGAACCAGCCAAGUAGCGUGCAGGAAUGACGGCCCUACGGGUUGUAAACUGCUUUUAUGCGGGGAUAAAGUGCGGCACGUGUGCCGCUUUGCAGGUACCGCAUGAAUAAGGACCGGCUAAUUCCGUGCCAGCAGCUGC